CAUUACAACAAUGGGGGUCAAUAAUUUGUGGGACAUUCUCGAAUCUUGCAAGUAAACGGUUCCUUUUCACCCAUCUCUAGUUAACUCACUUACUCACAAUUUCUCCUUUCAAGUUUCUCCUCCAAAAUUUGCUUUUUCUUGUUGAAUCGAGUACCCUUUUGGAUGAAUUAAAACAUGUAUGUGUUGGAUUUUUGAGUUGUUGCAUGAACAAAAGGGUGCUUUUGGAUCUGUCUUGUUUGAGGAUUUAUGAAUUUUUGGAUUUGGGUUUAACACUAAAUGGGAAAAAUGGGUUUAUUU
rnacentral:lncRNA from 1 species